GGGUGUGAGAGUGAUCAGGCUGCAGCAUCUGUCAUUCCAUUGAUUGCCAACCUGGCUUCAUUAGUACUGGAUGGCUAGGCUAGGGUCUCCUUUCUUCCUUACCUUUCCACGUACAUCUCUUCUUAAGUUGCAUGCUCUGUCAAAGAAGGCAUGCUUCUCUAAUGGGGUGGACCAUUCUUCAGAGAAUUUACGUACUUUUAUCAGGAAACAACCCAACUUG
rnacentral:snRNA from 1 species